rnacentral:rRNA from 1 species
AUUGAACGCUGGCAGCAGGCCUAACACAUGCAAGUCGAACGAGUGGCGGACGGGUGAGUAAUGUCUGGGAAACUGCCUGAUGGAGGGGGAUAACUAAUGGAAACGGUAGCUAAUACCGCAUACCAUCGGAUGUGCCCAGAUGGGAUUAGCUAGUAGGGGGGGUAACGGCGCACCUAGGCGACGAUCCCUAGCUGGUCUGGGAGGAUGACCAGCCACACUGGAACUGAGAGCAGGUCCAGACUCCUACGGGAGGCAGCAGUUGGUAAUAUUGCACAAUGGGCGCAAGCCUGAUGCAGCCAUGCCGCGUGUAUGAAGAAGUCCUUCGGGUUGUAAAGUACUUUCAGCGGUGAGGCGUUACCCGCAGAAGAAGCACCGGCUAACUCCGUGCCAGCAGCCGCGGUAAUAC